GUACUGCUGAAGAGUCCAAAAUUUGGACGAAACAGCUGUCCAAUAC
rfam:Trichobilharzia regenti genome assembly, scaffold: TRE_contig0000330